rnacentral:misc_RNA from 1 species
UGCUGGUAGGUUAAGAGAAUCCGUCACUAUAUGAAACACAAUCUUCUCUGGAGCCCUAGCAGUUGAUACAGUUGAGUUGACAACUGCAGAACAUGCCAAAACAUUGUCAGAGAAAACAGCGAAGUGGUGGAGAUCUGGAUUCUGAAAUUUAUGUUGGUUAGGUAGUUUCUGCUCCUCGGUUUGUAGGGCAAAGUACUCAGUGGUUAACCGCAUGGAGAGGCAAUGAAGGCCUUUCGGAGUAGUUCUUCCGGCAAGAUUUUCAAGGAAGGAAGCUUGAUUCUUUUGCGCUCGAAGUUGUUCCUCAGCAUUAUAAGUCAUCGCACGAAGUUUUUUCACCAUUGCCGAGCAAUCAGGGAACAAUCUACUGGCUUUCGACAGGGUUGCACUCAUAGCCUUCAUCUUCUGUAUGGCCCUCCUAGACAAAUCAGAAUCUUUUGAAACUUCACCAGCAGCUCGUUCCAAGUCUUUAAUUCGUAGCUUUAUCUCUUUCACAAAAUUAGAGUUACUACCUGCCGGUGCAAAAUUCAAGAAUGCUUUGGCCCUUAUCAGCUGAUCUUUAAUCUCCUUCACCCUCUCAUCCAAUACCCUCCGUGG